rnacentral:lncRNA from 1 species
UGCAAGUGAAUGAGGAUUUUCAGUUCUGUCCAUUUGGUGAGAUGUAUAUAUAAGGAAUCUAACAUACAGCUUGUGGUCAUGCAGCUUUUUCACCAUAGGUAAGACUGGGCAGAUGUGGAGCAGAAGAGCUAAUUAAUAUACUUUUUAAAAAAAAAAUGCUAUUGCAAAUCUCAUUUUCUGACUAAAGGGAAAAUAAUAUCUGUGUACAAAAUAGAAUAGGGCAGGGCUAAUAGCUUAUGUCCCAGUGUUUCUAGCUAUCAUUCAUUUUGUUUAAUGGCAGAGUUCUUACCAUCAUAAUAGGGAUGGUAUUUUCCCAUCAGUAAACAAUCCUUUGUAGGUUUAAUAGAUGUCAGACAAUCAUUAUAUGGGGUGAGGGAAAUGGGACCCACCCAACUUAGCUUCACAUGUCCCUGCAUGGUAUUUGCCAGCCGUUGACAGGGGAAGAAAGGUGAAACUGGAAAUGUUCUUGGAUCAAAUCCAAUUCUUUGAUCGUUACUAUAAGAAUUUGGUUGUUGGAAUGAUUUCUCAUCAUAGUCAUGUGAUUUUAGAGGCUAUUCAGGUGAUAAUUGGAGCCUGGUUUUUUCAUUUUUUUCCAGCCAUGCAACAUGAUGGCGCAGUGGAAGAAAUAAUCAUUUGGGAAUCAGUAACAUCUGUGGGGCUUUGGAUAAGUCCCCUAAUCUCCUUGGGCCUUUGUCACUCCAUUUUUUUAAAGUAAGAAGUAGAUGGAAUGCCAAGAGUCUGCCCAUAUCCAGUUUCUUUCUGGUCAGGUACUUUUGAAAAAAUGAGAUGGCUGUAGUAAUAAUAAUAAUGAUACUAGCUUUAGGUGAUGGGAUAGUAAGAAGACUGAUGCCAUUUGCUCCCAACGCUAUUCUGACUACUUUGAGUCAUAUUUGAUAUAUUUGUAUUUUUGUAUAGUUAAUUUCCCUCCUCAGUUUCACAGAUGGUAGGCAUAGAAUCAAGUUUACCUUGGUCUUUUCAUUCCAUAUGAUCUAAAAAUUGGAGUCCCUUAACAUUUGUAAAGUAAUAUCUGAAUAUUUGACUUCAAAAAUAUUUAAGUAUGAGUUGUAAGAACUUUAUAGGUUAAUAUUUAUGUUUUUUCCAGAGUAUUUAAUGGAUGGUACAGACCAAUUAGCUGUAGGGUUUUCAUUCAAGAUAAGUUUUCAUGACCGGUAAAGUAAUUAUGGAUUAUAAUUAAUCCAGUCACUGUUCCCAGGGUCUUUACUCCUAUCCUGUAUUAGGAUUCCUAUAAUCUCCUCAAAGAACAGAAAAUAUGGUUAGAAGGAAGGUUGCCUUUCAUUUACACUUUGUCCCCCAAGACCCAUUUUCAUAAUCACUGCUCUAAAUUGCAAAUUAUAUUGACUAUAUGGUUUGUUCCAAAUUAUUAGAAACAGUUAAAUUCAGCUCCACAACAGUAGUGCUUCCAGAAAAUGAUUAAUUUGAACUCAGAUUUCCUUCACCUUGACCAUAAAUUUAAGAUGCAGCAAGUAGAGCAUUCUGCCCAAAUUUUCAAAACUGAGAACCCUCUUUAAAGUGAGCCCCUUUCAAAACACUAGGUUAUAAAUAUUCUACCUAUGAUCCUAAGGGUUUUGGGAAACCCUGAACACAUAUUGACAGAGUAAAUCUAUUCAGAUGAGUCACUCUUUACGGAAAAUGGAAGUCCUUGGUUGUCCUCAUUUGCUAAGAGAACAUGUAACAAUUGGGAAAAAUCUAAGACGGUUUCCAAGGGCAUGGAGAGAUCUCUUCUGUAUCUUUUGGAUUUUCAAUCCCUGGAAUCUGAAAGGUCCUGUCUGCAGCGAGAAGGCUUGUCUUUUGAAAUUAUGCUUUUAAUA